UUUCCGGGCUGGGGUUGGCCCUCGCCUCCCUUUGUCUCCGACUGUGCUCAGGGAUGCCGCUCCCUUCAGUCACAGCCACACCUACUGCGAUCUGGAAGCUGGGAAGCCCACAAUCAAGUCACCAGCAGACUUGGCAUCUGGUGAAGGAUUACUCUCUGGUUCAUAGGUGGCUUCUGUGCUCUGUGUCCUCACACAGUGGAAGGAGGGGCACACCUUUCAGGCCUAGCCCUCGGCCUGGAUGAAGGUGUGGCUGAGCAUCCCUGUUCCUGGAACUUGGCAUCAGCAUCACUGACAUCGGAAGCACAUGGACCCCCUCCCACUUCAACAAGCAUCAAACCCAUCUCUUCUCCUUGCUCUGGCCAGGUCAGACUGGAGCCAACUGUGCUGCAGCUCCUGUGGAAGCCUUGGCAGGGAGGUGAGGGGGAGCACCAGUUACAAGCAAAGGCUCCGAGUGCAAAGAGCCUUCGCUUAUGAUUCAGGAAUCUCUGGGCAAGUUACCUAAGGUAUCUGAGCCAGCAGUUCGUCAUCUGUGGAAUGGGGAGAAUGGCAACACUUCUCAUAGGGUUGAAGUAGGGAAUAAAAUGAUAUAAUGUGUAUUAAACCCUUAGAAAAGGGGCUGGCCUGGCAUAUAGUAAGCGCUUAAUAAAUGUCAUCUGUUGUCAUCAUCAUCUAACUUAAAAGAGUUUAGCGACAGUGUUCUUGAAUCUGCCCUUGUUUACAUACUACGGGUCACUUGUUUGGGAGUGGGAGAGGGAAUAAAAACUACUUUUAUUUAUAACUGUAAA